GACGAACGCUGGCGGCGUGCUUAACACAUGCAAGUCGAGCGGUAAGGCCCUUUCGGGGUACGACGAGCGGCGAACGGGUGAGUAACACGUGGGUGACCUGCCCUCAGCUCUGGGAUAAGCCUGGGAAACCGGGUCUAAUACCGGAUAUGACUCCAUGACGCAUGUUGUGGGGUGGAAAGCCUUGUGCGGCUGAGGAUGGGCCCGCGGCCUAUCAGCUUGUUGGUGGGGUGAGGCCUACCAAGGCGACGACGGGUAGCCGGCCUGAGAGGGCGACCGGCCACACUGGGACUGAGACACGGCCCAGACUCCUACGGGAGGCAGCAGUGGGGAAUCUUGCGCAAUGGGCAAAGCCUGACGCAGCGACGCCGCGUGAGGGAUGACGGCC
rnacentral:rRNA from 1 species